rnacentral:rRNA from 1 species
GUUAUAUGGUCAAGUGAAGAAGCGCAUACGGUGGAUGCCUUGGCAGUCAGAGGCGAUGAAAGACGUGGUAGCCUGCGAUAAGCUUUGGGGAGUCGGCAAACAGACUGUGAUCCAGAGAUCUCUGAAUGGGGGAACCCAGCCAGCACAAGCUGGUUAUCUUGUACUGAAUACAUAGGUGCAAGAGGCGAACCAGGGGAACUGAAACAUCUAAGUACCCUGAGGAAAAGAAAUCAACCGAGAUUCCCUUAGUAGUGGCGAGCGAACGGGGACCAGCCCUUAAGUUGAUUUGAGAUUAGUGGAACGCUCUGGAAAGUGCGGCCAUAGUGGGUGAUAGCCCCGUACACGAAAAUCUCUUAUCAAUGAAAUCGAGUAGGACGGAGCACGAGAAACUUUGUCUGAACAUGGGGGGACCAUCCUCCAAGGCUAAAUACUACUGACUGACCGAUAGUGAACUAGUACCGUGAGGGAAAGGCGAAAAGAACCCCGGAGAGGGGAGUGAAAUAGAACCUGAAACCGUAUGCGUACAAGCAGUGGGAGCCUACUUUGUUAGGUGACUGCGUACCUUUUGUAUAAUGGGUCAGCGACUUAUAUUCAGUGGCAAGCUUAACCGAAUAGGGGAGGCGUAGCGAAAGCGAGUCUUAAUAGGGCGUUUAGUCGCUGGGUAUAGACCCGAAACCGGGCGAUCUAUCCAUGGGCAGGUUGAAGGUUAGGUAACACUGACUGGAGGACCGAACCGACUACCGUUGAAAAGUUAGCGGAUGACCUGUGGAUCGGAGUGAAAGGCUAAUCAAGCUCGGAGAUAGCUGGUUCUCCUCGAAAGCUAUUUAGGUAGCGCCUCAUGUAUCACUCCAGGGGGUAGAGCACUGUUUCGGCUAGGGGGUCAUCCCGACUUACCAAACCGAUGCAAACUCCGAAUACCUGGAAGUGCCGAGCAUGGGAGACACACGGCGGGUGCUAACGUCCGUCGUGAAAAGGGAAACAACCCAGACCGUCAGCUAAGGUCCCAAAGUCAUGGUUAAGUGGGAAACGAUGUGGGAAGGCUUAGACAGCUAGGAGGUUGGCUUAGAAGCAGCCAUCCUUUAAAGAAAGCGUAAUAGCUCACUAGUCGAGUCGGCCUGCGCGGAAGAUGUAACGGGGCUCAAACCAUGCACCGAAGCUACGGGUGUCAUCUUUGAUGACGCGGUAGAGGAGCGUUCUGUAAGCCUGUGAAGGUGAGUUGAGAAGCUUGCUGGAGGUAUCAGAAGUGCGAAUGCUGACAUGAGUAACGACAAUGGGAGUGAAAAACUCCCACGCCGAAAGACCAAGGUUUCCUGCGCAACGUUAAUCGACGCAGGGUUAGUCGGUCCCUAAGGCGAGGCUGAAAAGCGUAGUCGAUGGAAAACAGGUUAAUAUUCCUGUACUUCCAGUUAUUGCGAUGGAGGGACGGAGAAGGCUAGGCCAGCUUGGCGUUGGUUGUCCAAGUUUAAGGUGGUAGGCUGAGAUCUUAGGCAAAUCCGGGAUCUCAAGGCCGAGAGCUGAUGACGAGUUGCCUUUAGGCGACGAAGUGGUUGAUGCCAUGCUUCCAAGAAAAGCUCCUAAGCUUCAGAUAACUGGGAACCGUACCCCAAACCGACACAGGUGGUCGGGUAGAGAAUACCAAGGCGCUUGAGAGAACUCGGGUGAAGGAACUAGGCAAAAUGGCACCGUAACUUCGGGAGAAGGUGCGCCGACGAGGGUGAAGGACUUGCUCCAUAAGCCCAUGUCGGUCGAAGAUACCAGGCCGCUGCGACUGUUUAUUAAAAACACAGCACUCUGCAAACACGAAAGUGGACGUAUAGGGUGUGACGCCUGCCCGGUGCCGGAAGGUUAAUUGAUGGGGUUAGCGCAAGCGAAGCUCUUGAUCGAAGCCCCGGUAAACGGCGGCCGUAACUAUAACGGUCCUAAGGUAGCGAAAUUCCUUGUCGGGUAAGUUCCGACCUGCACGAAUGGCGUAACGAUGGCGGCGCUGUCUCCACCCGAGACUCAGUGAAAUUGAAAUCGCUGUGAAGAUGCAGUGUAUCCGCGGCUAGACGGAAAGACCCCGUGAACCUUUACUAUAGCUUUGCACUGGACUUUGAAUUUGCUUGUGUAGGAUAGGUGGGAGGCUUUGAAGUGGGGACGCCAGUUCUCAUGGAGCCAUUCUUGAAAUACCACCCUGGCAACUUUGAGGUUCUAACUCAGGUCCGUUAUCCGGAUCGAGGACAGUGUAUGGUGGGUAGUUUGACUGGGGCGGUCUCCUCCCAAAGAGUAACGGAGGAGUACGAAGGUGCGCUCAGACCGGUCGGAAAUCGGUCGCAGAGUAUAAAGGCAAAAGCGCGCUUGACUGCGAGACAAACACGUCGAGCAGGUACGAAAGUAGGUCUUAGUGAUCCGGUGGUUCUGUAUGGAAGGGCCAUCGCUCAACGGAUAAAAGGUACUCCGGGGAUAACAGGCUGAUACCGCCCAAGAGUUCAUAUCGACGGCGGUGUUUGGCACCUCGAUGUCGGCUCAUCACAUCCUGGGGCUGAAGCCGGUCCCAAGGGUAUGGCUGUUCGCCAUUUAAAGUGGUACGCGAGCUGGGUUUAGAACGUCGUGAGACAGUUCGGUCCCUAUCUGCCGUGGACGUUUGAGAUUUGAGAGGGGCUGCUCCUAGUACGAGAGGACCGGAGUGGACGAACCUCUGGUGUUCCGGUUGUCACGCCAGUGGCAUUGCCGGGUAGCUAUGUUCGGAAGAGAUAACCGCUGAAAGCAUCUAAGCGGGAAACUUGCCUCAAGAUGAGAUCUCACUGGAACCUUGAGUUCCCUAAAGGGCCGUCGAAGACUACGACGUUGAUAGGUUGGGUGUGUAAGCGCUGUGAGGCGUUGAGCUAACCAAUACUAAUUGCCCGUGAGGCUUGACCAUAUAACACCCAAGCAAUU